AACGAACGCUGGCGGCAGGCUUAACACAUGCAAGUCGAACGGGUGCAGCAAUGCACCAGUGGCAGACGGGUGAGUAACACGUGGGAACCUUCCUAGGGGUACGGAACAACUCAGGGAAACUUGAGCUAAUACCGUAUACGCCCCGGAGCAAUCCGGGGAAAGAUUCAUCGCCCCUAGACGGGCCCGCGUCGGAUUAGGUAGUUGGUGGGGUAACGGCCUACCAAGCCUACGGUCCGUAGCUGAUCNGAGAGGAUGAUCAGCCACACUGGGACUGAGACACGGCCCAGACUCCUACGGGAGGCAGCAGUGGGGAAUCUUGGACAAUGGGCGCAAGCCUGAUCCAGCCAUGCCGCGUGAGUGAAAGAAGGCCUU
rnacentral:rRNA from 1 species